AAAAAUAGCGGAACGGCCCUUUUGGGCCUGACCUCUUAAACCCCUGUGAACACUACCAGUUUCGUUGCUUCGGCAGGCGGCCCCAGGGCGGGGCUACCGCCUGUUUGCUCAGGUGCCUGCCGAAGGAAACCCCUAAACUCGCUAUAUUGUAUCAUCUGAGUCUACUAUACAAUUAUCA
rnacentral:misc_RNA from 1 species